rnacentral:lncRNA from 1 species
CCCCUCAUGCGUCCGCCUGCGUGAGGGGCCGGGAGGGCUUCGCGCCCCUCAGGCCGGCGCCGGGCUGUGUUCCCAACACACGCACAAAAGCCACAGUUGACCAGCGGGCUGUCCUGGGGCGCGCUGAGUAGUGAGAGGCGAUACCAAUAAGCUUUACAGAAGGGGCAUAAAGCAAUAUAGUUAUUAUGAAUUACCGCCAAAAUGCCGAGGUGAUGGUAGCUCACAGUGAGAGGGUCUGGGGGAAAAAGGGACGGCACUGACAGCACAGCCCCAGCCUUCAGAAGAUCGCCUUAGGUCAGGCGGCAAAAUGGCGGCACCUCUCUCCUCCCAGGGCACGCCGCAUCCUCACAGGGCGCAUGGCCUUCAUCCAAGCGUCCCGCUGGCAUUGCCAUACACUGCUGUUACGGAAGAGCUUUUGCAACUUGAAAAUAAGCUGUCAUGUUCAGAGGAAGUGACUCAGAAGACUCAGGGGCAAGCAGGAUCUUUCUGCUGAGGAGUAGGAGAGCAGAGUCUGCGCCAAGGGCCUUACAGAUGAACACAAUCGCACUUCCCCUAUUAGAGGACAGUGGAUCACACAAGCAGGAGCCUGAGCCUAUGCUGCGCUGCAUGGAUAUUGUCAGACCUACAUGCUCAUGCUGCAGCAAGUUCCAUGGGAGCAGCGGAGCCUCAAUUUCCUCAGUUCUACCAGAAAGGACCACCAAAGGAAGAUGGCAACACAGAAGGUUCAACAGCUGUAGUCCCUUCAUCACUUGA